GAUGAACGCUGGCGGCGUGCCUAAUACAUGCCAGUCGAGCGAACAGAUGAGGAGCUUGCUCCUCUGACGUUAGCGGCGGACGGGUGAGUAACACGUGGAUAACCUACCUAUAAGACUGGGAUAACUUCGGGAAACCGGAGCUAAUACCGGAUAAUAUAUUGAACCGCAUGGUUCAAUAGUGAAAGACGGUUUUGCUGUCACUUAUAGAUGGAUCCGCGCCGCAUUAGCUAGUUGGUAAGGUAACGGCUUACCAAGGCAACGAUGCGUAGCCGACCUGAGAGGGUGGUCGGCCACACUGGAACUGAGACACGGUCCAGACUCCUGCGGGAGGCAGCAGUAGGGAAUCUUCCGCAAUGGGCGAAAGCCUGACGGAGCAACGCCGCGUGAGUGAUGAAGGUCUUCGGAUCGUAAAACUCUGUUAGUAGGGAAGAACAAAUGUGUAAGUAACUAUGCACGUCUUGACGGUACCUAAUCAGAAAGCCACGGCUAACUACGUG
rnacentral:rRNA from 1 species